CUCGUAAAAUUAUAAAAAAAAACAAACAACUUUAUUAAUAUGAGUAAAAACAUAAGACCCGUAGAUAUAACAAAAAAAAGAGGUUCUUGUAUUAAUAUGAAUAUAGCCCGUAAAAUUAUUAAAAAAAAUAGACAACAUAAUAUAUUAGUAAAAACACAAGUUCUUUGAGAAUCACAAAAAAUAGUAGAUUUUCGUAUUAAUAUAUGAGUAACAAUAUAGGUCUCACAAAAAAUAGUAAAAAACUGAAAACUUCAUUAAUAAGAGUAAAAACAUAGGCCUCGCAGAAAUCCCACAAAAAAUUAGAUUCAUUGUAUUAAUAUAUGAGUAUAAAUAUAUGCAAUGUAGAAAUUAUGAAGAAUGAACAACUUUAUUAAUGUAUGAUUAAAAAUAUAAAUCUCGUAUAAAUCAGAAAAACAAUAGGUUCUCCCAUUAAUAUCUGAGUAUAAAUUUAGGUCCUACAUAAAUUAUGAAAGAUCAGGAAACCACCUCAAGAAAAUAUUAAAAUA
rnacentral:lncRNA from 1 species